rnacentral:lncRNA from 1 species
AAGACACUAAAUAGCUCAAAGAAUAAUUACAGAAUUAUAUUCCUACAAAUAUAGAUUGGUUGAACUUCAGCAUUGAACUUGUGCUAAAUGAAAAAAAAUGUGAAAUAUGUCAUGGCCAGAGACAGUAACCAAUCAAUGAAACAUGUCAAAAUGGUCCCAUAUGUCAAUGAGACAGUAACCAAUCAAUGAAUCAUGUCAAAAUGGUCCCAUAUGUCAUUGAGACAGUAACCAAUCAAUGAAUCAUGUCAAAAUGGUCCCAUAUGUCAUUGAAACAGUAACCAAUCAAUGAAACAUGUCAAAAUGGUCCCAUAUGUCAAUGAGACAGUAACCAAUCAAUGAAACAUGUCAAAAUGGUCCAAUAUGUCAAUGAGACAGUAACCAAUCAAAGAAACAUGUCAAAAUGGUCCCAUAUGUCAAUGAGACAGUAACCAAUCAAUGAAACAUGUCAAAAUGGUCCCAUAUGUCAAUGAGACAGUAACCAGUCAAUAAAUCAUGUCAAAAUGGUCCCAUAUGUCAAUGAGACAGUAACCAAUCAAAGAAACAUGUCAAAAUGGUCCCAUAUGUCAAUGAGACAGUAACCAAUCAAUGAAACAUGUCAAAAUGGUCCCAUAUGUCAAUGAGACAGUAACCAAUCAAUGAAACAUGUCAAAAUGGUCCCAUAUGUCAAUGAGACAGUAACCAGUCAAUGAAUCAUGUCAAAAUGGUCCCAUAUGUCAAUGAAACAUGUCAAAAUGGUCCCAUAUGUCAAUGAGACAAUA